AUGGAGUCUAAGUAUUUUGGUAGAUUAUUUUGGACUAUGAAAAAUGACUAUAACAGAAAUAUCGUGACUUUGGACCAGCCGGGCAAGCAAACAGGCAAUUGUGCCAAAAAGGCAAGCAAAAAGACUGAGAGAAGUGAGAAGGCCCUUUCUACACAACAAAAAGACAAGUGUCAAAAAGGUAAUGAAAAGAUAAAGAGAAGUGAGAAAAGGUCAUUUCUAUACAAAAAAAUGCACUUGUGCCAAUGCCAGAAGAAACCCGACACAUCAUAUAUAGAAAAAGGCACUUAUGCCAAAGCAUGUGCAGCUAUCACAGUGCGUGCGUAG
rnacentral:rRNA from 1 species